rnacentral:rRNA from 1 species
UACGAAGGAGGCUAGCGUUGCUCGGAAUCACUGGGCGUAAAGGGUGCGUAGGCGGGUCUUUAAGUCAGGGGUUAAAUCCUGGAGCUCAACUCCAGAACUGCCUUUGAUACUGAGGAUCUUGAGUUCGGGAGAGGUGAGUGGAACUGCGAGUGUAGAGGUGAAAUUCGUAGAUAUUCGCAAGAACACCAGUGGCGAAGGGGGCUCACUGGCCCGAUACUGACGCUGAGGCACGAAAGCGUGGGGAGCAAACAGG